UACGUAGGGUGCAAACGUUGCUCGGAAUUAUUGGGCGUAAAGCGCACGUAGGCGGCUUUGCAAGUCGGAUGUGAAAUCCCUCGGCUUAACCAAGGAAGUGCAUCCGAAACUGCAGAGCUUGAGUACUUAAGAGGAUCGCGGAAUUCCCGGUGUAGAGGUGAAAUUCGUAGAUAUCAGGAGGAACACCGGUGGCGAAGGCGGGUCUCUGGGCCGAUACUGACGCUGAGGAGCGAAAGCGUGGGGAGCGAACAGG
rnacentral:rRNA from 1 species